AGGAUUCUAUAUUCAGACAAACCUCCAGUUGAGAGUGAGGAUAAACUAAAGACAUCUGCAGACCUUCAAAGUUUCAAAAGUCUGCCUCAAUAAGCACUCAAUGCCAGAAGUACUGGAGUGAUGGCUUGAUGUCCUGUUCUAGAAGGCAUGCAUCCAUCUGGCCCUAAAAGCAGCCAUGUCAGUAAGGGAGAAUUUAUGAUCCACAAGGGUUGUCUGUGUUGUGCACCGCUGUGUCCUUAUCUCUAAGAACUGUGUUAAAACCACUUUAUUGAUGCCUUGCUCUCUAAGGAUUCUGGAUCCCAAGACUGACUGAUAUCCUACCAGUGUUAUAUGGCUGGCCUUUCCUAACUGUCAGGAAGGCUGAAGGACUGGCUGUGCAAGAAUUAAAUGUACCAAAUCCUAUUGAAUGGUAAAUUUACAUUAUGUAUAUUUGUGUAUAUUUUACCAAAAUUAAAAAUAAAGAAGGGGAUAAUUCUGAAGACACUGAUGUGUGGAUGUAUAAUUAAAAUUUCUUAUUCUGAUGUCCAAAGCAAUGCUGUACAGAUUAACAGGACUGCUGUGUGUCAGAACUCAAGCAUAUUUAUGGUAAAGAUGAUGGCCUGGCCUUCACAAUUUCACUGGCAGCAACAUGUCCAUGUGUUGUGUCCACACACCUUAAAUGGCUUAGGCCUGGUCCUACC